GGGGAUGAAAGGAUUUCGACUGGGGCAGGGAAUCUUGGUAAGCGUGUAGCGGAGUUGCACCGCUUUAAAAGUAACACUUUAAAAUUAACUGACAAUAAUAAAUCAGUAGCUUUAGCUGCCUAAUGCAGCUUUCGUCUUACCCGUGAGUGCCACGGCAUGGAAUAAGGCGUCGACUUAGUGGCGAACAUGAACAGAAGAGCGGCUCGGCUUCUGUCAGGUAUCAGAGCCUACCGUAGCAAAAAGGCUGUUUGCUGCCGUUUUGUGAGGGGAAUCCUUAAAUAACAAACUACACACGUAGAAAGCUCUGAGGAUAUGUUUCAGGACGCGGUUUCGACUACCGCCAUCUCCACCA
rnacentral:tmRNA from 1 species